rnacentral:RNase_P_RNA from 1 species
GCAGACGCCUUUGGUGUGGCCGCGCCGCAAGACGCGGAGGAAAGUCCGGACUGCACAUGACGGGAUAGCGGCUAACGGCCGCCGGGGGCGACCCCAGGAUCAGAGCAACAGAGACGAGUCGCGCGGUCUCCGCGCGGGUGAAACGGGCAAUCUCUAUCCGCAGCAACCCCAAGUAGGUUCCGAUAUGCGGGUCAUGACGCAGGAACGGGUAGGGGGCUUGACGCCCAUGGCAACAUGGCGCGCAGAUUAAUCACAUCACUCGACAGAAUCCGGCUUACCGGGCGUCUGCAAAA